CCAAAUUCAUUGCAAUUGUUGGAAAAAAUCAGUUUAUGCUGUUAUGUUUCUUUCCUCCAUACAAGUCAAUGGGAAACACAAGAUCCAGAUUUCUCAAUGACAGUCCAAGUUCAGUUCCAAGUCAGAUGGAAGCAGUUGUCCUUAUGUAAAUGAUUCCUGAUUGCCAAUGUGGCUCAUCUUGGAAGAAAGACAGAGUGGUAGCAUCUGAGAGAAGGGAAGAGGUUGCACCAUGAAAUCAGGUGAAACCAAGACUUGUGUGGCCAAGCAAUACCAGUGUACAGUCAAGACAGUGAUAAUGAAGAUGACUACACAAUCUCAGAGUUCCAGCGGUUACUUUUGCCUGAGUCUAAUGGGAAAGACAGUAUUCUUCUCUCUCAUCAUGUAAUAAUCACACUUUUUUCCCCAAAAAAAGAGGGUGCGACUAUUAUGUGACAAAGAAAAUAUGCCAGUAUUAUAUCGUUGAAAAUAAUGUAAUAUUAAAGACUCCACGUUGCCAUUGUCACAUGUCAUAUGAGUCUACACUGACCAUAUAAUGCAGUUUCAAUUUGCAUUAUAUUGCAGUAUAAAUGAGGCCCAAGUCACCCUAUCCUCAAUAGCCCCAAUAUUGUAGAUUUAGGGCCAAGUCUAUCUAUCUGGAAUGUGGCCUUUCUCUUGUCCUAUUGCAUUUUACCAUACCAAGCAUUAUUGUGUUUUCUGUCAUGUCUUCUCCUGAUAUGGCAAACUACAACAACUACAAACUAAA